rnacentral:rRNA from 1 species
GUGAGGAAUAUUGGGCAAUGGGGGAAACCCUGACCCAGCGACGCCGCGUGAGUGAAGAAGGUUUUCGGAUCGUAAAACUCUUUUAUUGGGGAAGAAGAAGUGACGGUACCCAAUGAAGAAGUCCCGGCUAACUACGUGCCAGCAGCCGCGGUAAUACGUAGGGGACAAGCGUUGUCCGGAAUCACUGGGCGUAAAGGGCGCGUAGGCGGUUUUAUAAGUCAGAUGUGAAAGGUACCGGCUCAACCGGUGACGUGCAUUUGAAACUGUAAGACUUGAGUACUGGAGAGGCAAGAGGAAUUCCUAGUGUAGCGGUGAAAUGCGUAGAUAUUAGGAGGAACACCGGUGGCGAAGGCGGCUUGCUGGACAGAUACUGACGCUGAGGUGCGAAAGCGUGGGGAGCGAACAGGAUUAGAUACCCUGGUAGUCC